CUGAAAAAUAAUCUCAAAGACAUUCAUACCUGAACUACACCUUUAUUUGCCAAGGUAGAGUACAUGAUCAGUGAAUAUAUUAAAUGUACAGACUACAAUGUGGGGAUCUCAUGCAUGUAAUAACUACAUGUAUAUAUGACUUGCAUCCUUGCCACAACGUUAUAUUAUAUUCUACUCAAUCCAUAGGCUUCAUUGAUGCCAGUCAGACUGUUUUGAAGUUGAUACAACUGGCUAUGAUAGCUGAGGUUCAUAUCUAGGUUCUGAACUAAUAUGUAUACCAAACGUUUGGCUCCAUACACAGAUCGGCUAGAUAGCUAGCUACACAUCCAUAGGCAUACAGGUAUUUUUAUCCUCCACUGCACAAUAAGCAAGAACAUAUUUCAUCUCUCUGCAUUGCAUGGCAAAUAUCAGCAAGGCAAGCUGCACAUUCAAUUUGCAGUAAAUGCUUUAGCUAGCUAGAUUCUUUACGUCCACUGUUUCACAAGACGACAGCCUGGUUUGCUGGUUGUUUCAGGAGUCUCUAAAACAUUUAAACAACCAGAAUUACAAUUUCAUUCUCAUGUCACAACACCCAUAAAGCUAGCCAGCUAACGUUAGCUGGGUAAUGUCCGCUAGUCAGCUAGCUAGCUAAAUUGCGAUUUUCGUAAAUGAACGUUAUAAUGUAAAAAAAUAUGCAUAAUCAUUUUUCUCUACAUUAACUAACAUAUUCCUGUCAACUGUACGUGUUUUGCAUGAUUUGUUAUGACACUAUAAUCACUUACAUUUGCUUCCAUUCUAGUAUUUUUGUCAGUCAUCUUUGCUGAAGAAAGAAUAACAUUCACUAGCGUGUGCAGCCUCUGCAUUAGCAGCCUCCCCAAGGUCCUAGUCCUCUCUCAGAGAGGUUAAGAUGCGAUGGAAAAGUUGACGGGGAAGAAAUGAAAUCACAGAGAAAAUAUAUUGAUUGUCGGAGUGUGUGCUACUGGUCGAAGGAAGUCAGGUGCAGGAGAGCAGAGAUGAGUGAACAGGCACACUUUAUUCAGGCAGAGGAAAAACAGCCGGACGCAAUUGGGUCACAACACUCCGGCCCAAGGAACAAAGCGAAUGCGCACAAAUUACACAAAAUGGUACAAAUAACCAACCCACGGGUUAUAACAAUACCCGGCGCAAAACCAGUCUGAAGCGUCACACACGUAACGAAAAAAACAAUACCACACACAGACAUAGGGGGAACAGAGGAUAAUAUACACGUAGAGUAAUGAGGGGAUGUAAACCAGGUGUGCAGGAAAACAAGACAAAACAAAUGGAAAAUGACAGGUGGAGCGGCGAUGGCUAGAAGACCGGUGACAUCGACCGCAGAACGCCGCCCGAACAAGGAGAGGGACCGACUUCGGCGGGAGUCGUGACAUUGAUAUAUUUAGGGGGUGCUAAUGAAUAUUUUAGGGGGGGCCUAGCAACGUCCCUGAUUAACAGUGAACAUUACACUCACAGAAGUUCCCUCGCUCUCGCAAUUAAAUUUAAGGGCUUUAUUGGCAUGAUGUUAACGUUGCCAAAGCAAGUGAAGUAGAUAAUAAACAAAAGUGAAAUAAACAAUAACAAUUACCAGCAGGGACGUCACUAGAGAUUCAUGGAUAGGGGGGCUAAGCCUCUUUUAGGGGGGUCUGGCAUAUUCCCUCCUGUCCGUUUACUGUUAGCAGGCAGUCUCAAGCCACAGAAGUAGCUAACGUUAACCAAAAUGUUAGCUACAAGUAGGCCUAACGGUGCUUGUACACUAGAUAGCGGUAAAUUGCCGCGUGCCGCUUAUGCCACCCAUUGUGACUCACUUGUGGGGGUGCUGGCAGCAUAUGGCAACAUAUGGCAGCACGUUCGAUUGUGCGUCAAGAGUGCAGCAUAGCAAGUUUGUAUGAAGGUCUGGUAAUAUUAAAUGGGUACAUAGUUAAAUAGUACUAUCCCCUAAAAAUGCUCUGGUGACAAACAAACUUUUCUACCCUGUUUCCAAUUGUCUACAUGGCUGGGAGAACCUGUUCAAGUAAGUAAAUACAUUUAGAAAAAAAAAAUAUAUAUAUACUAUUAGCUAAAUAGCUACAGUGCAGGCUAACUCAAAUGAGCUGCUAAAUGAGCUAGCUAGUUGACUAGCCAACUUGACAUACUGUAUAGAUAGCUAACGUAAACUCGCCUUGGUCCGUACAAUUGACCUUAUUUUAGCGCCCAAAAAAACGUAAUACUUCCAGAUCAACUGUAAUGUCAAUACUAUUGUAAAGCAUAAUUUCAAACCUUUCCAACAAAAUCAAUGACAUGACCUCCAUACUGCCCGUUUCUGCAUGAUUCAAGAAGGCAAUGAGCUCUGUCCGGUCUUUUUAAAAAUGGCGGGUGGGGAAGCGAAACUAAUGCGUGAUAGUGAGAAGGAGAGAUGUCGUGUGGGGAAGGCUUUUUUUCACUCGAUCUGUCCAACUUAUCACCUUAUCGCCUCUAAAAUGUAAAUAAAACACUAUAAAGAGUUUAUAUAAUGUGUCAUUACAUACCUAUUUGAAGGUUUGUGUCGAAUUUGAAUCGGGUUUUUAGGGCGGUGCUAAAGUGAUCUUCAGACGUAAACAAGUGGCUUUUGAGAGUCAUAAUCGCUUGCAGUGAUGACGCAAAAAAUGACUAGGUAUCCCCCUUACCCCGUCACUGUCCAUUUCUUGUUUUUAAACGAUGAGAGAAGUGCUACACCUGGUAGAGAGAGAGAUUGUAAGACAGAAAUAGUUGCUUUAUGCUUGCUGUACGUUACGGCAUGACACGUCACGAUGUAACGGAGGGUCCGUUUUUUCAACUUUUCUGCAAUACUAUAGAGCCAUUACCAUGUCGAUCAGCGCUUGAAUAGAAACGUAGUUCACACCCCAGAUUUUGAAGUCAACAGUCGCUACAGUCCCAUUAGUUUUCUUUGCAGCCUCGUUUGAAUGUCGCGGUUGCGCACAUUUGUACGGAAUGGGAUACCUUGUAACUGGAGAUUCCUUCAAAACGAUUGCCUACAGUUAACGUGUAGGGCACUGCAAGGUUGUGUGACCAGGGCCAUCUGGGACUGCCUCCUGGAGGAAUUCAGGUGUGUGAAGGCUACCUGUGUCCUGCAUAACUUCAUGAGGAUGGACACGAGGACAAGGGGGGAUCUGCAGCUCGCCGCAGUGUGCCAGAGGAGAAGUCUGCUGCUCUGCAGGAUGUUUCAAGAAUGCGGUCCAACAACACAGCAAGAGAGGCAAUCCGUGUGCGGGAGAUCUUCACCUCCUACUUCUUUGAAGAGGGUGCUGUUCCAUUGGCAACACCAUAGACUACACUAUGCACAACCAAAGGCUCUUUUAAGAGCCAUUUACAUUGCAAUAAGAGUAUUCUUCCAUUUACUUAACUAUGUCAACUGCAGUUAUUCAAUUCACAGUUUCUCUCCCUUUGAUUUCUACUUCGCAGGCUCAGGUGUAUAACUGUGGCUCCUUCCACCUUUGAUGAAUAGGCAAGAGGGCCAACCAUGGAGAAUACUGUGUUGGUGAACCCCUCCCUCAUCUGAACUGGCUACAUAGAGGGCACAGCAUGAUCAGAGAUAUGUUUGAUGUGAGAGAGGAUGGCAUCCCCCAGUCCCAUCAUCCCCACCUCACCUGCUUUUAAGAUAACCUUUGGGCCGACGAGAGACACUAUAAUGCAAUUGUGAUGAACUGAGAGAAUAUUUGGGUAGCACUGUGAUUCAUUAAUCAUAUGCUGCCUUCCCUGCUCCUAUGUUUUACCUCUUUCUCUUUGUCUUUUACACCUCUCCCACCACUUGCUCUUCCUUCCUCUGUUUUUAUAAUGCACAACAGAUGUGCACUCAAGUACAGAUUGAACUUGUAUUUAUAAUAUUACAAUUAUAAUGCAUGUAUUUAUAACACUUGGAUAAUGAACUUCUUUCAAUAAAGUGUUUCACAUUCUCUACUGGUUGAAAUUAAGUCUCAUUUGAUGAAGUACUACACCUAUUCUGUGUUUAUCAAAUCAAAGCAGAUGAACGGC
rnacentral:lncRNA from 1 species